rnacentral:lncRNA from 1 species
AAAUCACAGCGAAAGACACGAUCUCAAUAUGAUUCAUACUCUCAACUAUGUUAAUGGAGAUGACUCUGUGGAAGUUGUGACGAACUUUUGCAUAAUUUCUCAUCACGAUUUGCUUGUUCUUUUCUCUCCAGAGAAAUGAGAAAAUUGCUUUCUGCGUAGAUUUUGAUUUGUUGUUUCAGGUUGCUAUUGAAAUUACUUGAUUUUGGGGUGACUUGUAACGAUCCAAUUGGUAGUUUUGAG